UCACACACACACAGCUCUGCUGCAUACACAUAACUUCAGCUCAUCCAGCAGCGAUCACAACCAGCACAGCAGAGUCCUGCAUACACUGAGCAGAUGAGCCUAGAGCAGCAGCCCCUGAUCAUGUGACUCCUCCUCCUCCUCCAUGUGACUGAUCACAUGACUGUGACAUCAUCGCAGGUCCUGUAAGUACACGGCUCCUGUACAGUCUGCAGGUGGAGGUAUAUACGGUUGUGGUGACAUCAGGAGCGCUGGGGGAGGGGACAUUACUAUUAACCCCUUCAGGUACACAAAGAAGAAGAUCACAAGAUCCAGAACUUUCUGUGUUUCUCCAAUCCAGGAUCCUCUGCUGAUAUCUUCUAUAUAAGAGAAUUCUCCUGGUUGACCCAUCAACCAUGGAGAGAGACAGGAACAAGAUGGCCGACAGGAUCAUAAACCUCACCCUACAGAUACUCUUCCGGCUUACUGGAGAGGAUUACACAGUAGUGAAGAAGCCCUCUAGUGGGCGCUGUCGGGCCCCAGUGUGUGAAGGAUUGGGAAGAACCCUGAGCCCAAUCCCGA